rnacentral:lncRNA from 1 species
UUUAGACUAUUUUAAUGUAUUUAAUUUUUGUUUUGACUCAGAUACUGUAGAAAUGUUUUAGAGUAUUGUUUUGAAUUCCCGCGGCGGUGAAUGUGGGAAACAAGGGCGCUUCAUUCGCUUACUGUUUCCUCAUUUAUGUAUAUUUUGAGGUUGACUGCGGUCGACAGUUUAUUUACAUGUACAAGUCGGUUCUGUUAGCUGCGUUCUUUUUAAUUAAUAAAUUUUUGAAUUUUGUUAAUUAUUUAUGAGGAGCUAAUGAAGUUGUAUAAGAAGAUUUAUAUUGUUUACGCUUAUAAAUUGAGACGCCUGAAGAAGGCCAAAUAAAAUGGUCGAAACGUUGCGGAAUCAA